rnacentral:rRNA from 1 species
GACGAACGCUGGCGGCGUGCCUAACACAUGCAAGCCGAACGGAGCAAUUACUUCGGUUUUUGCUUAGUGGCGAACGGGUGAGUAACGCGUGAGAAACCUGCCUUUCAGUGGGGGACAACAGUUGGAAACGACUGCUAAUACCGCAUAAUGUUAUUUGAGGGCAUCCUCGAAUAACCAAAGCUUUAUGUGCUGAAAGAUGGUCUCGCGUCUGAUUAGCUAGUUGGUGAGGUAACGGCUCACCAAGGCGACGAUCAGUAGCCGGUCUGAGAGGAUGAACGGCCACAUUGGGACUGAGAUACGGCCCAGACUCCUACGGGAGGCAGCAGUGGGGAAUAUUGGGCAAUGGGGGAAACCCUGACCCAGCAACGCCGCGUGAAGGAAGAAAGCCUUCGGGUUGUAAACUUCUUUUACCAGGGACGAAGAACGUGACGGUACCUGGAGAAAAAGCAACGGCUAACUACGUGCCAGCAGCCGCGGUAACAC